GACGAACGCUGGCGGCGUGCCUAACACAUGCAAGUCGAGCGAAUGAAGUUCCUUCGGGAAUGGAUUUAGCGGCGGACGGGUGAGUAACACGUGGGCAACCUGCCUCAUAGAGGGGAAUAGCCUUCCGAAAGGGAGAUUAAUACCGCAUAAGAUUGUAGUACCGCAUGAUACAGCAAUUAAAGGAGCAAUCCGCUAUGAGAUGGGCCCGCGGCGCAUUAGCUGGUUGGUGAGGUAACGGCUCCCCAAGGCGACGAUGCGUAGCCGAACGGAGAGGGUGAUCGGCCACAUUGGGAAUGAGACACGGCCCAGACUCCUACGGGAGGCAGCAGUGGGGAAUAUAGCACAAUGGGGGAAACCCUGAUGCAGCAACGCCGCGUGAGUGAUGACGGCCUUCGGGUUGUAAAGCUCUGUCUUCAGGGACGAUAAUGACGGUACCUGAGGAGGAAGCCACGGCUAACUACGUGCCAGCCGCCGCGGUAA
rnacentral:rRNA from 1 species